CACGCCGUAAACGAUGAAGACUAGCUGUCGGGGCACUUGGUGUUUCGGUGGCGCAGCUAACGCAUUAAGUCUUCCGCCUGGGGAGUACGGCCGCAAGGUUAAAACUCAAAGGAAUUGACGGGGGCCUGCACAAGCGGUGGAGCAUGUGGUUUAAUUCGAAGCAACGCGCAGAACCUUACCAGCGUUUGACAUGGCAGGACGGUUUCCAGAGAUGGAUUCUUCCCUUCGGGGCCUGCACACAGGUGC
rnacentral:rRNA from 1 species